CUCUUGGGCCUGCUGCGGACAGAUGAGGUGGAUAUGCGUAUCGAUGGCGCCGGCGGUAAUGAUCUUGUUCUCGCCCGCAAUGACGUCGGUGCAGCUGCCGACAAUCAUGUUGGGCGAGACGCCCUCCAUGACGUCCGGGUUGCCGGCCUUGCCGAUGCCGACAAUGAUGCCGUUCUUGACGCCAAUGUCGGCCUUGACGAUGCCCGUGUAGUCGAUGAUGAGGGCGUUGGUGAUGACCAGGUCGAGCGAGUCGGCGUCGGGGCGGCCCGACGCCUGGCCCAUGCCCUCGCGCAG
rnacentral:sRNA from 1 species